UAUUAUAUACAAUAUAAAAAGUUAAAAUAUAUAUAAAUCGGUCCGGUCCGAUCCAGUUUUAGAAAAAGAAAAAUUGAAAUCGGACUGAUUUUAACCGGUUUUAAGAAAACUAAAACUGGUAACGGACCGAAAACAACCUCAGGAUCGGACCGAUGCCACCGGUUUGGUCCAGUCCGGUUUACCGGUUUAUCGGUUUUUUUUUACACCCCUAGCACAAAUGAACAUCCUUCGCGUUGUACUUGAUUAUGAUAUUAAAAGCAGAAAAAUGCUAUGGCCAACUGGCCUGGCCCUAGCGCAGCCUCGGCUGACGUGGCAUAAAGCCACAUCAACUAACUUAUUUUAUUAAAAAAAAAAUUCAAAACACAGUUUUUUGUUUAGGGGGAAGGGAAUAUGAUGGGAUGGAAUCAAAAGAGAAGAAAUGGGUUUUCGUCUUCCUUCAAACCUUUGAAACCUCAUCCCAAAACAUAGUCCACCUUCCACCGUCUCCCCUCUGUUUGCCCCAUCGUCUUCGAGCCAUCAAAAGCAUCGUCGUCGUGGUCAGCCAAGCAAAACCCCCAUCCCAGCAUCAUGAUCUACUCCCCAUCGAAACCCCCAAUCUUUUUCUCCCCUUCGAAAACCCAUAUCGACACAAAAGUCACCGUUUGAUGCUUCGCCCCAUCGUCUUCGAGUAGUCAUUUUCGUCACCGUGUUCAGCCAAGCAAAACCCGCAUUCCAUUUCUUCUUCUCCCAUUGUAUUCGUCUUCUCCACUGAAGUCAUCGUCUCACGAAGCCCAUCCAAUAAAGGCCCCUUCGUCUUCUCCACAGUCAGCGUUUGUGUUCUCCACGAGCCCUAUAACACCCAUGAACCCUAAAAGACCUCCAAACACCCCCUUCUCAAAUUUCUUUUUUUUUUUUGCCCUUAGCCUGGGGGACCAUGGAACCAAAGAACUUGUGGGAGUAGCAGACUUGAAGCUUAGAUUCAUUGAGUUUCUGAGGUACCCUUUCCUCUUGUGCAUAUUAAGAAGUUAGAUUCUAUCGAGUAGUUUCAAUUCAAAAAGCAGCAUAACGGAUUGAGUUAUGUAUUGUUUAUUGCAUAGGAAAAGAAAAAACGGAUUGAGUUCUGUAUUGUUUAUUGCAUAGGAAAAAAAAAAAACCCUUUUGUCCUUAACCCGGCUUUGCAGGGGCCUCAAUAAGCCCUUGAAAAGUUUUAGCUCUGCUAUUUUUGUUUGUAAUCUAUAACAAUCUUGAAACUGGUAGCUAAUUGUAACAAACUGGUAGUUGAUUGAGUUUCGAUUUUGUUUUCUUAUCCAAGUAAAUUUAGUUAUUUCAAAUGGAUGCCCUGUACUAAUUGUCCUUCCCUAUUCCGAGUGAAGAUUGUAUUCAAGUUUGUAGAAAUUGUUUGGCUUUGUAAAUAAAAACCAUGGACACCUACUUCCAUUUUUGGGAUGGGUUAAUUGUUUAGUAUGCUUUCUAUAAAUUUGCUCAAGCUUGGAUGAAAACAAAAGGAACUAAAAUAACCCAGCCAAAGCUUUUAUGGUCUUAGUCUUUAGAUCAAUUGAUUGAUAAUUUGUGAAACAUAUUUGAAUAGCAGUAUAACCAUCACUUAUUGAAUGCCUCUAUUAAUUGGGAUGUAGAUAUUAUUCGAGCAACACAUGGUUGGGAGAUUGACAAUUUUGGCCUCUUUUUCUGUCCAGUUAUAUUUUGUUGUGGUUUAUGAAAUGAUUUUUUGGGAUUCUAAAUUUAUCUUCUAAUUCUUUUUCUAUGUUUUUUGCGUUUCUCUCAUCAUGUACUCACUGACAAGUACAUACACAGAAAACUCUUUUGAAAACUCUCUCCAAGUUAACUACUUUGUGAUUUUGGGGGAUCUAACAAUAUCAGCAUCAUCAAUUUCUUCCUCAUCCUCUACUAAAUGUUACUGUGAGGUUGAAGCCACGAUGAGAUAUGCAAAUACUGCAAGAAAUCCAGGACGACCCUUCUUAGGGUGUCCAAAGUACAAUACAUAGGGAUUAUCAUAUUGCAAGUUUUUCAAAUGGGUAGAUAGAGAUCAGAUGGGAGAGCUUGAACUUCGAGAAAUGACCAUCCAAGCACUAUUAAGGAAGCUAAAAGAACUUGAGAAGAAAUUGCUUGAUGUCGAGCAGAGGGAGAUUGAGCUAGAAGGGAGGGUGGUUGAGAUUGAAAAUAAAGAAGCUGAGAUUAGGCUUAGACGCACACAGCUUCCCCUUAGCUUUUGGGCAUUUGCAUUUUUUGUUGCAUUUUAUUUUGUAGUAUCCAAGUAAUCAUCAUUCUAGUGUUUGUAAACCAUCACUUAUGUUGGACUUUUAUUUUUGUACUCGACUUUUGCAUUUGUAUUGGACGUGCAGUUCACGUAAUAUGAAGUGUUUGUAGUCCCUUUGUAGUCAACUGAAGUAUUGGACUACAAACUGACUAGAUGAUGUAUAAAUCGCCCUUCUAUUUGUGUCGUUGAA